rnacentral:lncRNA from 1 species
CAGCUGCAGAGCAGGACAGACCAGAUUGGCCAGUACAACAGCAGAGGGCCAUGUUGGGCUUUGACUCAGGAAUCCUGGUGGAGGCAAUGAUGAGAGAGAAGAGAUAAAACACACUAGGUAAGCCAAGGUAGUUGUCAGGAUAGAAGGAGACAGGCAGGCCAGAUGGCUGUUAACCGUGUGGUGUGUCCCAACUUUCCAGCAUCAAUUUAAUGGCCAAAUUAAAAUCAGCAGAGCCAAGUGUUAGAGUUAUUGCUGCCUGAGUUAUAACAGCUGCCCUGGGAAUCUUGUCUGAACAACAAGUUAACUGCUGUUCCCAGUUAUAUCUGGUCUUUCCCACCCCCAAACAUACACAAAAGAUUUUUGUCAUUCUUGGCACUGGACAACAGAAGUGAUAAGACAUGCCAGCAGAACUCUAAAGGCAGAAUGUCCUUCCACCUGUUUUAUGCUGUAAGACAAACUUCCAAGUGCGAGGCAGUGUGGAGGGCUGUUGCCUUGAAUGGCAGCUGAAUGCACCAGCGGGAUCCUUGGCAGCAAUGCCCAGGCACUGAAGUCGGGCAUUCAGGAGAGCUAAAUGGAGAAAAGAAACUUGAGCAAACUGCUUCCUGGAACACUGAGAACCUGAAUGGGAAAUUAAGAAGAACCAGAUUCUUUCUAUUCUUCCACCAGCCAAGGUGAUGAGCACAAAAGGAUCCAUCUUAUACAGUGCUUGCCAGCUUCCAUAAUACUACUCACCACGAUGUUGAAAUCACCUGUUCCAGAACCAGUCCUGUCCUUUGACAAGAAGGAUUUAAUUAUCAGUAGUGGUGGGGACUGGCUGGAGAGAGGAAAAACACUUCAAGGACUCUGCCACCUUUCGUAGAUGGAGAGUGCAAAGUUUGUACCAUGGAACUCCUUCUCUAACAGUUACUCUGUGGCAGUGCCUAUUUCAAACCUCCCUUAACUUCUGAUUGUAUAGAUGUUUGUUUCAUUUGUUCAUCUGUUUGUUCACUUAGUCAGAGAUGUUUUAAGCCUUAAGAGAAAUAGUGGACUAGAAAAUGCCUUGGAAAAGUACAAAGUUCAAUCCAAGUAAACUGUUUUUAAACUAGGAAUUUAUGAAGCCUAAAAUAUAAAAUGUAUAUACAUGGAUAUGCUCUGAAGUGAGGUAGAGGGGUAGAAAUCAACAUUGUGAUAUUGUACUAUAGUUUUGCAAGAUGUUACCAUUGGGGGAAAAUGUUUGAAGGGUAUACGGGAUAUCUCUGCCUUAUUUCUUACAACUGCAUGUGAAUCUACAGUUAUCUCAAAAUAAAAAUUUAAUUAACAAUUGAU